rnacentral:rRNA from 1 species
UAGGGAAUCUUCGGCAAUGGGGGGAACCCUGACCGAGCAACGCCGCGUGAGUGAAGAAGGUUUUCGGAUCGUAAAGCUCUGUUGUUAAGGAAGAACGAGUGUGAGAAUGGAAAGUUCAUACUGUGACGGUAUCUAACCAGAAAGCCACGGCUAACUACGUGCCAGCAGCCGCGGUAAUACGUAGGUGGCAAGCGUUGUCCGGAUUUAUUGGGCGUAAAGCGAGCGCAGGCGGUCAAUUAAGUCUGAUGUGAAAGCCCCCGGCUCAACCGGGGAGGGUCAUUGGAAACUGGUUGACUUGAGUGCAGAAGAGGAGAGUGGAAUUCCAUGUGUAGCGGUGAAAUGCGUAGAUAUAUGGAGGAACACCAGUGGCGAAGGCGACUCUCUGGUCUGUAACUGACGCGGAGGUUCGAAAGCGUGGGUAGCAAACAGG